AUUGAACGCUGGCGGCAGGCUUAACACAUGCAAGUCGAGCGGGGACUUCGGUCCUAGCGGCGAACGGGUGAGGAAUGCUUGGGAAUCUGCCCAGUAGCGGGGGAUAACGUUUCGAAAGGAACGCUAAUACCGCAUACGCCCUACGGGGGAAAGGGGGGGAUCUUCGGACCUCUCACUAUUGGAUGAGCCCAAGUCGGAUUAGCUAGUUGGUGGGGUAAAGGCCUACCAAGGCGACGAUCCGUAGCUGGUCUGAGAGGAUGAUCAGCCACACUGGAACUGAGACACGGUCCAGACUCCUACGGGAGGCAGCAGUGGGAAAUAUUGGACAAUGGGCGAAAGCCUGAUCCAGCCAUGCCGCGUGUGUGAAGAAGGCCUUCGGGUUGUAAAGCACUUUAAGCGAGGAGGAAUGGCUGAGGGUUAAUAACCUUCAGCAGUGACGUUACUCGCAGAAUAAGCACCGGCUAACUCUGUGCCAGCCGCCGCCGUAAAAC
rnacentral:rRNA from 1 species